GAUGAACGCUGGCGGCGUGCCUAAUACAUGCAAGUCGAGCGAACAGACGAGGAGCUUUCUCCUCUGACGUUAGCGGCGGACGGGUGAGUAACACGUGGAUAACCUACCUAUAAGACUGGGAUAACUUCGGGAAACCGGAGCUAAUACCGGAUAAUAUAUUGAACCGCAUGGUUCAAUAGUGAAAGACGGCUUUGCUGUCACUUAUAGAUGGAUCCGCGCCGCAUUAGCUAGUUGGUAAGGUAACGGCUUACCAAGGCGACGAUGCGUAGCCGACCUGAGAGGGUGAUCGGCCACACUGGAACUGAGACACGGUCCAGACUCCUACGGGAGGCAGCAGUGGGGAAUCUUGCGCAAUGGGCGAAAGCCUGACGGAGCAACGCCGCGUGAGGGAAGAAGGUCUUCGGAUUGUAAAACUCUUUUAUUUGGGAAGAAAAAAAGUGUAAGAAAACCUGCCCGUUUUGACGGUACCUAAAGAAAAAGCCACGGCUAACUUCGUG
rnacentral:rRNA from 1 species